CGUCAAGUCAUCAUGGCCCUUACGACCAGGGCUACACACGUGCUACAAUGGCGCAUACAAAGAGAAGCGACCUCGCGAGAGCAAGCGGACCUCAUAAAGUGCGUCGUAGUCCGGAUUGGAGUCUGCAACUCGACUCCAUGAAGUCGGAAUCGCUAGUAAUCGUGGAUCAGAAUGCCACGGUGAAUACGUUCCCGGGCCUUGUACACACCGCCCGUCACACCAUGGGAGUGGGUUGCAAAAGAAGUAGGUAGCUUAACCUUCGGGAGGGCGCUUACCACUUUGUGAUUCAUGACUGGGGUGAAGUCGUAACAAGGUAACCGUAGGGGAACCUGCGGUUGGAUCACCUCCUUACCUUAAAGAAGC
rnacentral:rRNA from 3 species